UGGGGAAUAUUGCGCAAUGGGGGGAACCCUGACGCAGCCAUGCCGCGUGAAUGAAGAAGGCCUUAGGGUUGUAAAGUUCUUUCGGUAUUGAGGAAGGUUGAUGUGUUAAUAGCACAUCAAAUUGACGUUAAAUACAGAAGAAGCACCGGCUAACUCCGUGCCAGCAGCCGCGGUAAUACGGAGGGUGCGAGCGUUAAUCGGAAUAACUGGGCGUAAAGGGCACGCAGGCGGUUAUUUAAGUGAGGUGUGAAAGCCCCGGGCUUAACCUGGGAAUUGCAUUUCAGACUGGGUAACUAGAGUACUUUAGGGAGGGGUAGAAUUCCACGUGUAGCGGUGAAAUGCGUAGAGAUGUGGAGGAAUACCGAAGGCGAAGGCAGCCCCUUGGGAAUGUACUGACGCUCAUGUGCGAAAGCGUGGGGAGCAAACAGGAUUAGAUACCCUGGUAGUCCACGCUGUAAACGCUGUCGAUUUGGGGGUUGGGGUUUAACUCUGGCGCCCGUAGCUAACGUGAUAAAUCGACCGCCUGGGGAGUACGGCCGCAAGGUUA
rnacentral:rRNA from 1 species